rnacentral:rRNA from 1 species
GGCGGCAGGCUUAACACAUGUCAAGCUCGAGCCGGUAGCACAGGGGAGCUUGCUCCCUGGGUGACGAGCGGCGGACGGGUGAGUAAUGUCUGGGAAACUGCCUGAUGGAGGGGGAUAACUACUGGAAACGGUAGCUAAUACCGCAUAACGUCGCAAGACCAAAGAGGGGGACCUUCGGGCCUCUUGCCAUCAGAUGUGCCCAGAUGGGAUUAGCUAGUAGGUGGGGUAAUGGCUCACCUAGGCGACGAUCCCUAGCUGGUCUGACAGGAUGACCAGCCACACUGGAACUGAGACACGGUCCAGACUCCUACGGGAGGCAGCAGUGGGGAAUAUUGCACAAUGGGCGCAAGCCUGAUGCAGCCAUGCCGCGUGUGUUAAGAAGGCCUUCGGGUUUUAAAGCACUUUCAGCGAGGAGGAAGGUGGUGAACUUAAUACGUUCAUCAAUUGACGUUACUCGCAGAAGAAGCACCGGCUAACUCCGUGCCAGCAGCCGCGGUAAUACGGAGGGUGCAAGCGUUAAUCGGAAUUACUGGGCGUAAAGCGCACGCAGGCGGUUUGUUAAGUCAGAUGUGAAAUCCCCGGGCUCAACCUGGGAACUGCAUUUGAAACUGGCAAGCUAGAGUCUCGUAGAGGGGGGUAGAAUUCCAGGUGUAGCGGUGAAAUGCGUAGAGAUCUGGAGGAAUACCGGUGGCGAAGGCGGCCCCCUGGACGAAGACUGACGCUCAGGUGCGAAAGCGUGGGGAGCAAACAGGAUUAGA